rnacentral:tRNA from 1 species
AAGAUUUUAAGUUAAAUAAACUAUUAACCUUCAAAGUUAAAUUUACUAAUCAAUACAGUAAAUCUUA